CACAGAUUGGCUAAUAACUAGUUAAUGAGCUGCAUGUUGGGAGAUGUGUUUGGGGCAGAGCGGAGCGAUGGUCACAUUUUGAGCAGAUGUUGAAGUUAUUGCUGUAUCUGUUCUUUGGCUGAACAAGCAGAUCCAGUAAGUGGAGAAGGAAGUCACAGGAUUUACCCACAGGAAUGGCGGGUUCGGAGAGCUCUGAUAUUGGGACAGAAUUUCUAACCCAUCCAAACACAACGUAAUACUUCACUCUGUGCUUGGGGGGCAAAUCGUGCUUAUACUCUGCAAAAAAAAAUCCAAAACCAAGUGUUUACUGAGCUAGAUCAGGAUUUAUCAACUAAUCAAAUACAAAGCACUAGUAACAGAUUAUUGUAGCUAACUAGUACCCCAAGAACCACUAGUAACAGAUUAUUGUAGCUAACUAGUACCCCAAGAACCACUAGUAACAGAUUAUUGGAGCUAACUAGUACCCCAAGAACCACUAGUAACAUAUUAUUGUAGCUAACUAGUACCCCAAGAUUAACUAUUUGACAAGAACCACUAUUAACUAAC